AGAGUUUGAUCCUGGCUCAGGACGAACGCUGGCGGCGUGCCUAAUACAUGCAAGUAGAACGCUGAAGGAGGAGCUUGCUUCUCUGGAUGAGUUGCGAACGGGUGAGUAACGCGUAGGUAACCUGCCUGGUAGCGGGGGAUAACUAUUGGAAACGAUAGCUAAUACCGCAUAAGAGUAGAUGUCGCAUGACAUUUGCUUAAAAGGUGCAAUUGCAUCACUACCAGAUGGACCUGCGUUGUAUUAGCUAGUUGGUGAGGUAACGGCUCACCAAGGCGACGAUACAUAGCCGACCUGAGAGGGUGAUCGGCCACACUGGGACUGAGACACGGCCCAGACUCCUACGGGAGGCAGCAGUAGGGAAUCUUCGGCAAUGGACGGAAGUCUGACCGAGCAACGCCGCGUGAGUGAAGAAGGUUUUCGGAUCGUAAAGCUCUGUUGUAAGAGAAGAACGAGUGUGAGAGUGGAAAGUUCACACUGUGACGGUAUCUUACCAGAAAGGGACGGCUAACUACGUGCCAGCAGCCGCGGUAAUACGUAGGUCCCGAGCGUUGUCCGGAUUUAUUGGGCGUAAAGCGAGCGCAGGCGGUUAGAUAAGUCUGAAGUUAAAGGCUGUGGCUUAACCAUAGUACGCUUUGGAAACUGUUUAACUUGAGUGCAAGAGGGGAGAGUGGAAUUCCAUGUGUAGCGGUGAAAUGCGUAGAUAUAUGGAGGAACACCAGUGGCGAAGGCGACUCUCUGGUCUGUAACUGACGCUGAGGCUCGAAAGCGUGGGUAGCAAACAGGAUUAGAUACCCUGGUAGUCCACGCCGUAAACGAUGAGUGCUAAGUGUUGGAGGGUUUCCGCCCUUCAGUGCUGCAGUUAACGCAUUAAGCACUCCGCCUGGGGAGUACGACCGCAAGGUUGAAACUCAAAGGAAUUGACGGGGGCCCG
rnacentral:rRNA from 1 species